UGUGGACGCCAAAACAGAAACACCAAGAAGAAGAAGAAGAAGAAGUUUGGGUGUGAUCUUAUGGAGGGGAAACCUAUUCUACUUUGCGUGAUGAUGCUUUUGCUGCUAGGAAAUCCCACCCAUGCUGUGAAUUGUAAAUCACAUAUUGCUUAUUCAGGCACAUCAUGCGAUGAAUUAAGUUGCCGGCUGGCCUGCCAGCAUGACGGGGGAGGUCGCCCCACAAAUGGUAAUUGUGUGGUUGUCAACGCUUCCGUUCAGGAAUGUAACUGUGCCGUAUGUGACUAGAGAUGAUGCACUAUUCCAUCAUGUCAAACAACGGACAAUGAUUUGAUCCAUAAUAAAAUCUUCAUGUGACAUGCAUGUGGGAAUGUAUAUA